UCCGUAGGUGAACCUGCGGAAGGAUCAUUACGUACUGUAGGCCGGUCUGACCGGUUCUAUUCUACCCUGUUUUUUGCGCACUCUCUGUUUCCUCGGCAGGCUUUGCUUGCCGAUAGGACUCAAUUUUAACUCUAUGUUAUCAGUAUUCAGCGUCAAAACAAAUACAAAAAUUUGUAACAACUUUCAACAACGGAUCUCUUGGUUCUGGCAUCGAUGAAGAACGCAGCGAAAUGCGAUAAGUAGUGUGAAUUGCAGAAUUCCGUGAAUCAUCGAAUUUUUGAACGCACAUUGCGCCUAUUGGUAUUCCAAUAGGCAUGCCUGUUCGAGCGUCAUUUCAAACCUUCAAGCCUUGCUUGGUGUUGGGCGCUGUCUGAAUUGUAAAAAAAAAUUUCAGCAGACUCGCCUUGAAUUCAUUGGCAGCCAGCAAUUGGGUGUUGGAGCGCAGCACAUUUCGCGUUCUCAGCCACAGUCGUUGGCGUCCAAAAAGCUUAUUUCCACGUUUGACCUCGGAUCAGGUAGGGAUACCCGCUGAACUUAAGCAUAUCAAUAAGCGGAGGAAAAGAAACCAACAGGGAUUGCCUUAGUAACGGCGAGUGAAGCGGCAAUAGCUCAAAUUUGAAAUCUGGCUCUUUUAGGGUCCGAGUUGUAAUUUGUAGAGGGCGCUUUGGCGUUUGCAGCGGUCUAAGUUCCUUGGAACAGGACGUCACAGAGGGUGAGAAUCCCGUACGUGGUCGCUAGUAUUCGCCGUGUAAAGCCCCUUCGACGAGUCGAGUUGUUUGGGAAUGCAGCUCUAAAUGGGAGGUAAAUUUCUUCUAAAGCUAAAUACUGGCCAGAGACCGAUAGCGCACAAGUAGAGUGAUCGAAAGAUGAAAAGCACUUUGGAAAGAGAGUCAAACAGCACGUGAAAUUGUUGAAAGGGAAGCGCUUGCAGCCAGACUUGCCUGUAGUUGCUCAUCCGAGCUUUUGCCCGGUGCACUCUUCUGCGGGCAGGCCAGCAUCAGUUUGGGCGGUUGGAUAAAGGUCUCUGUCACGUACCUCCUUUCGGGGAGGCCUUAUAGGGGAGGCGACAUGCAACCAGCCUGGACUGAGGUCUGCGCAUCUGCUAGGAUGCUGGCGUAAUGGCUGUAAGCGGCCCGU
rnacentral:misc_RNA from 1 species